ACUUUUGUUGCUUUUGCAUUGUAUUCUCCCCCCCUUUAAAGCUUUUAUUUUUGCUAAUUUUCACCUUUAUAUCAACUUUCUACUUGCUGGUACUUGAGCGAUUCCUCACCUUUUCCCACACCUUUUAGAGGUUAAAAAGGUGGAUGGAUGACGAUUUUUGCCAGUAACAACAAAGUAUACCAGUGGUCCGGUGGAAUUUUGCGGGUGAUAACUCCUAGAGUGCUAACUUUAUUUGUAUUCCUAGCUCCCAGAAUAGUACACAAGCUGCACUUGGUCGAGCUCAGCACAUACUAAGUGGUUUCUCUCAGAAAGAAAUUCAUCGCAGACCUCGUAAAUAGCAGCAGCAGAUUUGGGAUUUGAGGAACUUACAAAUUCACACUACUAUAUGCAAUUGGAAAGCAGAGAUCCUGAGUAUGGAGAUUUGAGAAGUAUGGAGUGCGAAGUACCAGAAGUGGUUGUUUUCCUAAAAGAAAAUGGUUGCCAGAUCUUCAAGGAUUUGUGUAUAGAUGGGGAAGUGCCUUGUCAUGACAAAUGUUGUGUGGAAAACUGUGAGUUGGACCACAAUAAUAUAUCCAACCUGUUGAAGUAUGAGCUGGCCAGAAACAGCAGAGAGGUUUCUGAAGAAAUGUUGUUAUAUACUAGCAUUUCAACUGGGGCAGAAGAAUCUUUCUCUAACCAUGAUUGCAUUCAUGAUGAUGCCAAGCUUUGUGAUGCUGAAAAGAAGCUGCUGAUGGAAGAUAAAACAGUUUCUGCUCAUAUUUCAACAGAGGCUUGUUCUUCUUCAGAGAAGGAAUUAUCAGAUAUACGAAAUUUGAGUAAUACUGAGCAGAUCACCGGUCCCUCUCUUUCUCACUUGUUUAAUUGCGAAGAUCUUAGACUAGAUCAACAACAGAAUCAUCAGGUUAAUUAGUUCUAUGACAAUCAAACUUUGACGAUCAAUCUCAAUCUUGUUCACCAACAUUUUUAUACCAGUACUUCUACGAGACAAUGCAGGUUAAAAGUGGCUGUCAUAAAUUACAGACUAUCAUGAUCACCAAGAAUAUACCUGAUUUGCAUGGAAUGGUUUUCAGGAGCAUCCAAAGACGGAAACAAUGAUAGCGGACACUUGGUCAGCUGGCAAGGAAGCAGAUUGCAGAAACUGCAAUGGAGUAGAUCUAAGAUCAGAGGUUGAGUUGGGAGCCCAAAGAAUAACAGAUGACUCUGGUUCACAACCAAUUACGGACGAAAGCACCUCCGAAGACAAACGCACCGAAAGCACCUGCGAGGCGGCGGAUUGCAUGUCAAAAGUACCAUUAUUAGCAUCAUCAUCAUCAUCACGUCAAAAUGAAAAUACCGCAGGGCAUCAUCGAGAACUUGGAAGCUCUAGCUUCUCUGCAGCAAGCACUGCCUCUGGUCGAUUAACGUUCUCUGGGUUGAUACCAUUUUCUGACAACAUCUCCCUCCGCUCGAAUAGCACAGCGAGCACAAGAUCUUUUGCAUUUCCCACAUUAGCAACAGAAUGGAACGAAAGUCCCAUAAGAAUGGCAGAAGUUGACAGAAAGCCCAAAAGGCGGGGAUGUUGGAGGAUGUGUUUUACAUGUUCGAAUUUUUAGAGUGUUGUAAAUCUCGUCCUGUAAAAUCUUUACCAAAUACUACAUCAUCCAGAUAUCAACUUAAUAUACCCUGUCAAGUGUGAAAGGCCACAUAUUUUUAUAAUUUUUUUUGUCACUUUUAUAGUAUACCCACUGAGGCAAUAUAUACCGAUUUUCUUCAUCAAAUCUAAGGCUGAUCAUGCAACUCGUCAACUGAUUUUCUUCAAAUCCAGACAUUGAAGGCCCGUGAAGUUCCGGUUC